GAGUUUGAUCGUGGCUCAGAUUGAACGCUGGCGGCAUGCCUUACACAUGCAAGUCGAACGGUAACGCGGGGCAAACCUGGCGACGAGUGGCGAACGGGUGAGUAAUGCAUCGGAACGUGCCCAGUAGUGGGGGAUAGCCCGGCGAAAGCCGGAUUAAUACCGCAUACGACCUGAGGGUGAAAGCGGGGGAUCGCAAGGACCUCGCGCUAUUGGAGCGGCCGAUGUCAGAUUAGGUAGUUGGUGGGGUAAAGGCCUACCAAGCCGACGAUCUGUAGCUGGUCUGAGAGGACGACCAGCCACACUGGGACUGAGACACGGCCCAGACUCCUACGGGAGGCAGCAGUGGGAAUUUUGGACAAUGGGCGCAAGCCUGAUCCAGCCAUGCCGCGUGCGGGAAGAAAGGCCU
rnacentral:rRNA from 1 species